rnacentral:tRNA from 1 species
UAGCUCAGUGGUUUGGGCAUCUGCCUCGCAAGCACAAGGUCCUGAGUUCGAUCCCCAG